AUGACUUCAUCUACAGACUGAAGGUGAAGAAUCCCAGACUGAAGGUGAAGAAUCAAGAUGUGAUCAUGUCUGUGGCAUUGUCUUUCAACUGUGCUGACUUUGAAAAACAUACAAAGACACGUUCACGUGAUGGUAUUUCACAAUCCUCUAUUUUGAAAAUGAUGAAUAGGACACCUAAUGAAGAUAAACUGAUAUUUUAAAUAGAAUUGCCUUUCAAAGACCAUACAUCCAGAUUUUCAUUUUGGAUGAAUUCAAAAACUAAUAUUGUUUUUCUUUUUUUUCUUUUUUUUAAAUAAAUUUCUUUACCUACUAUA